UGAGGAAUUUUCCGCAAUGGGCGAAAGCCUGACGGAGCAAUGCCGCGUGAAGGAUGAAGGCCUAUGGGUUGUAAACUUCUUUUCUCAGAGAAGAAUUUUGACGGUAUCUGAGGAAUAAGCAUCGGCUAACUCUGUGCCAGCAGCCGCGGUAAGACAGAGGAUGCAAGCGUUAUCCGGAAUGAUUGGGCGUAAAGCGUCUGUAGGUGGUUUAUCAAGUCUUCUGUCAAAGAUCAGGGCUUAACUCUGGGCAGGCAGGAGAAACUAGUAGACUAGAGUUCGGUAGGGGCAGAGGGAAUUCCCGGUGGAGCGGUGAAAUGCGUAGAGAUCGGGAGGAACACCAAAGGCGAAAGCACUCUGCUGGGCCGCGACUGACACUGAGAGACGAAAGCGAGGGGAGCAA
rnacentral:rRNA from 1 species